rnacentral:rRNA from 1 species
CCUACGGGGGGCAGCAGUGGGGAAUAUUCCGCAAUGGGCGAAAGCCUGAAGGAGCAACGCCGCGUGAUCGAAUGAAGGCCUUCGGGUUGUAAAGAUCUGUUGACAGGGACGAAUGAGCAAUGCGAAUAGUUUUGUGUAUGACGGUACCUGUUUAGAAAGCUCCGGCUAACUACGUGCCAGCAGCCGCGGUAAUACGUAGGGAGCAAGCGUUGUCCGGAAUUACUGGGCGUAGAGGGCGCGUAGGUGGGCGCUUAAGUGAGGUGUUAAAACUUCGGGCCCAACCUGGGGACUGCACUUGAAACUGGGUAACUUGAGUGCAGGAGAGGAGAGUGGAAUUCCUAGUGUAGCGGUGAAAUGCGUAGAUAUUAGGAGGAACACCAGUUGCGAAGGCGGCUCUCUGGACUGUAACUGACACUGAGGCACGAAAGCGUGGGGAGCAAACAGGAUUAGAUACCCUGGUAGUC